rnacentral:lncRNA from 1 species
GGAGGAACAAAAAAACGGUUUUGGCAGGCACAAUUAGGUUGUGGUGUGAAUGGGCAGACGCAGAGUGGAAUUGGCAGAGUCGUUCUUGUCUUGAUCUGGAGCCAUCAUCUAUUCUGGGGAGCAGAGAGUGAAGUUAGAUAUACAGAGAAUAUCGAGGCUAUUCGAGAGGGGGAUCCAUAUACACAAUUGAAAAGAGAAAAAAGACAGGAGGGAGAAAACCAGAAGAUCAUCAUCCACUACACUUAUCCUCUCCGAAAACACCUUCCAUUCCCCAUUGACACAAACAAAAAAAACAGAAUUGAUUCUCAUCUAGGAGAUCAUCUUCAUUCACACACACUCCUUUUCUCCCCGUUACAAAAGCGACCCCAACAGAUUCA